UAAUACGUAAGUGGCAAACGUUGUCCGGAAUCACUGGGCGUAAAGAACACGUAGGCGGCCGGGUAAGUCUGAGGUGAAAUCCAGGGGCUCAACCCCUGAACGGCCUUGGAAACUGCUCGGCUAGAGGUCCGGAGGGGAAAGUGGAAUUCCGGGUGUAGCGGUGAAAUGCGCAGAUAUCCGGGAGAACACCGAUGGCGAAGGCAGCUUUCUGGCCGGAUUCUGACGCUGAGGUGUGAAAGCCAGGGUAGCGAACGGGAUUAGAUACCCCGGUAGUCCUGGCCCUAAACUAUGAGUACUAGGUAUUGGGUCUCAGAUUCAGUGCCGACGCAAACGCAUUAAGUACUCCGCCUGGGGACUACGACCGCAAGGUUG
rnacentral:rRNA from 1 species